AAAAUAACAAUGAUUUCCCUAGUAACGGCGAGUGAAGAGGAAAGAGCUCAAAGUUGGAAACUGUUUGGCUUAGCUAAACCGUAUUGUAAACUGUAGAAACAUUUUCCUGGCACACCAGAUUAAUAAGUCCUUUGGAACAAGGCAUCAUGGAGGGUGAGAAUCCCGUCUUUGAUCUGAGUAGUUGUCUUUUGUGAUAUGUUUUCAAAGAGUCAGGUUGUUUGGGAAUGCAGCCUAAAUUGGGUGGUAAAUCUCACCUAAAGCUAAAUAUUUGCGAGAGACCGAUAGCGAACAAGUACCGUGAGGGAAAGAUGAAAAGAACUUUGAAAAGAGAGUUAAACAGUAUGUGAAAUUGUUAAAAGGGAACCGUUUGGAGCCAGACUGGUUUGCUUGUAAUCAACCUAGAAUUCGUUUUGGGUGCACUUGCAGGCUAUACCUGCCAACAACAGUUUGAUUUGGAGGAAAAAAUUAGUAGGAAUGUAGCCUCUCGAGGUGUUAUAGCCUACUAUCAUACUCUGGAUUGGACUGAGGAACGCAGCGAAUGCCUUUAGGCAAGAUUGCUGGGUGCUUUCGCUAAUAAAUGUUAGAAUUUCUGCUUCGGGUGGUGCUAAUGUUUAAAGGAGGAACACAUCUAGUAUAUUUUUUAUUCGCUUAGGUUGUUGGCUUAAUGACUCU
rnacentral:rRNA from 1 species